UAAUCGGCUCUUUUCAGAGCCACCGCUACAGUUCUUAAGAACAUCU
rfam:Anopheles gambiae str. PEST chromosome 3R, whole genome shotgun sequence.